UACAGAGGGUGCGAACGUUGUUCGGAAUCACUGGGCUUAAAGGGCGCGUAGGCGGGUAUCCAAGUCUAUGGUGAAAUCCGGCAGCUUAACUGUCGAACUGCCGUGGAUACUGGGUAUCUCGAGGGAGGUAGGGGCGUGCGGAACUAUUGGUGGAGCGGUGAAAUGCGUUGAUAUCAAUAGGAACUCCGGUGGCGAAGGCGGCACGCUGGACCUCUUCUGACGCUGAGGCGCGAAAGCCAGGGGAGCAAACGGG
rnacentral:rRNA from 1 species